rnacentral:lncRNA from 1 species
UAAACAUUAUCUUCAGUGAAAUCCUAUGGAUUCUUAUCAGUAAAUUUUUGCAACUUUGGAACUCUUCAAAGCAGAGAAACUAUUCAGAAAUCCUUCUUUUAGACUUCAGCUUUAUAUCCUUCCAUUUUGUACAUAAACCACUCUCAUUGUAAUUAUGCUUAUUUUAAUCGACCUAAAAUAGCUUUUGUUCUUCAAUUCAUAGGUCCUUGGCAUUUCCAUCUUUCAAGCUACAAAACAUGCAGGUUCAGGUGGAGAACUGAGGAAAGACAGUUGUGCUGGGCUUCAGAAAAGAAUAUCCAAACGAGUUUUCAGUUGGCUACCCCUGCAUGACACUUGGAAUUUGUAAUCAACACCCGAGUGGCUUCUGGCAGGAGCUUGAAUACUUGAUGCAUGAGAGAAUUUGGGAUGAACAGCCAGUUGGAACAGGAAGAUGAAUGAUUCACUGAAUGACUGACUGACUGACUGAAAAGACACUGUAUGCAUGUAUGUAUGUAUAUAUAUAUAUAUACACACACACACACACACACACACACAUAUAUGAAAGAAUGAAUAAAUGAGAAUCAAAAGGUUGGAGAUGGAGACA